rnacentral:lncRNA from 1 species
UUUUAUUUUUGAAUCUGCACUCAGAGCCAAUCUUCUUAGAGGCGGCCCAGCUCCUUUGUCCCUAGGUAGAAGUAAUUGAGCAUUGGAGCCUCUUUGAGGGGACUUGGGAGGGUCCUGGAAAUUGAUCUGUUGGAUGUCAGACUGUGAAAGUUCCUGAGAAACUUGAGGUGGGAGGAUUUAUUCUGUGGAGAAAGAUGGGGAAGGAGUAAGAACUAAGGCUCCUUCCCUCAAGUCAAAAAGAGACUCAGCCCUGGAUAAGCUGACCCCUGCUAGGAACUAGGAUCACAAGGCAGGGACUUGUAGAUUGGCCUCUUUUCCUAAAUGUGGUAGAAUUGGCAGCCAGCCUCUUGAUAGACUGACACUGAAUUACAGCAAGUAAAUGCAACAGGAGACCAACUAGGAACACAUAUAUGGGCAGACAGAUCUCACAAGUUAGGCUCGCUCUCUCUCUCUCUCUCUCUCUCUCUCUCUCUCGCUCUCGCUCUCGCUCUUGCUCUCGCUCUCGCUCUCGCUCUCGCUCUCUCUCUCUCUCAGGAUGUUUUCUAGAAUGUUGGUAGUGAGCUGAGGGCUCACCCUGCAUUGUUUGACACUGUGCCCUUGUGAAUACUGCUGAUUCCCCUGACAUGGUUCAAAGUGCUGGGCUCAACGCAGGGAAGAAAGACUGUUCAACUGGGAGUUGCUAAACUUACAGAAAACCUGUGACUUUUUUUUCCACAUUCCUCUUAACCCUAGCAAAUGACCACUUCUUGUAUAUUUCUGUUGCUUUUUCCAUUAGAUUACUUAGGGAGCUAAUUCUUAUUUAUUGAUAUAAAUUUUGGCAUUGCUUGAUUUUACUCAAUGGAAAAUUGUGCUUUGAAGUUUUAGAAUAUUGCACAACUAAAAAAAAUAGAUUGGGAAAAUUUUUAAUUUGCUUAGUAGAAACGAAUUGUGAAAUAAGAGAUUGAAAGUGUGUAUUAUUCCUUUGUGUUUGAAGAGAAAGUUUUUGUUUAAAGCAAUACUAAAAACCAGACAGAUAAUUCUGUCUUCAGAGGCCCUGUGCUCAUGUGCACACCAGUGGUUACCCUGGAGGUAGGGGAGAUGCUGGGGGGGGGGGUGCUCUGUCCCUCCAGUAGCUGCCUGAUAUUCAGUCCUCUAGAAUCUGAAUGUGAACCCUCCAGUCAUCACGAACACUUGACUUCCUCUGUCAGUUACUGGAGAACGUUUGAACUCAGGUGUUUGAUUUGAGGUGAGGACACAGUAGCUUCUACAGAGUGUAGGUGUGCUAGAGAGAUGAGAAACUGUCUUGCUGCCUUGUUUUUCCACCAUAUUUUUAUAUGGGGAAUUGAAAAGGAAAGAACGAAAAUGAGAAUGAAGGAAAAACACAAGGUGCCGAUGGAUGCUGGGGCAGCCUCCUCCUCAGCAGAGCCGUUGCACUAAACAGCGGUGGUGAUGAAGCCAGGUAUUUGAAGAAGUAGACUUCACUGGUGUGGUCUUAGAAAGGUUGUCCUUUUACAUGUGAACUGUUUCCUUGUCCUCUAUCUGUUUACCACCCCAUUCACUAAAGUCACCUCAAAACUCAGUUCUAGAAGGACCUUGACAAACAGACAUACUUACCUCCUGGUUAGUGGAACUCUGGGACAAUGUCCUUUGUGAUGGUGUUUUCAGGAGUCCUUAGGUUAUGUUGAGAAAACUCAGUGUAGGCCAAACCAAAACUGAUGGUUCUGUUUUUGUAAUUGUCUCUUUCAUGUCCUAUUAUACUCUGUAUUAAAAAACAGGGUUAAAAGGCCAUAGUCCAUUUCCUAAAAUGUAAUGCGCACCUUGUAUCUGUGAGGUGGUCUGUUGGUGUUUUUAUCCGAAUAGGUUGUCAGGUGAAUAUGACCCCUUCCCGUUACCCAGAGGGUAUAUUCUCCAGGUGGUCAGAGUGCAGGUUAUUUCUUACACAGAGAACCUACCUUCCCUCCAUAUGAUUCUUGACCUCUGCCCUCAUCUCCCAUUUAAUAAUUUAAACAAAUCUGAGGCCAGGUGUUGUGGCACAGUGGCAUACACCUGCAAAUCUGCACAUGGGAAGUUAAAGCAGGAGGAUCAGGAAUCGGGGAUAGCCUUGGCUACAGAGAGAGUUCAAAUCCAGUCUGGUAUACAUGAGUCCCAGCCUCAAAACCAAACACAGGGCGUCUGAAGGAAGAACUCUCCGCUGGUGCUGUUCAGGGGGCACUGGCAGAGUGUCUGUGCCCAGUCAAGGUGUUAACCCAGUGAACAGAUAACUGAAAAUGACAGUGUUGAUAGGAAAUAAGGUUCUGGUGCCACCAUGGAGUCAAGUCAUUGACCACUCCUGACCCAAGCGAGGCUUGAUUAUACUACUGUGGAGUCUACGCGUGCAAUAGUCAGUGGCCUCACUCCCCUGGUGGGCAGAGCCG